GCGAGAAGUAAUGUGAAAAUAAUAAUGAUUAUAGUUUUGAGGUUGAAAAUGUGGCUAUUUAAAGACAAAUUGGACUUAGGCGAUUGAUUCCGAUGUUUCUAAGUUAUUGAUAGAAAACGACCGUAACUUUACUGUUCUUGGAGCAUGCAAGACCCCAUGAUUGAAACUUUGUAAUCGACGAUCUAUGUUAUAUAUAUAUACCAUCAAAAUAUUUUAGUCUCGCACUAUUAUUAUCUAAUGUCUGAUUCACUGGAAACAAUAACUCGUGUUUGAUUUUAUAUGAAUGACAUUUUGUUCUUAGUUAUUCGAUGUGUGAAUCUAGAUGUAGGUUUACGCAUAGUAUUUGAUGCUUACAUAUAAAUAUAUAUUGGAAUUAUACAAAUUAUUUGCUUCACCUUACUAAUGAUUAGACUUAUGAUAUCUGCUUAAGUAAUAUUUUAAGGACAAAGUGUACUUCAAUGUUUUUUCCACUAAAACAAAUUAAACUGCUAGACUAUAGCCCUUGAUUAAUGAUUGUACUAAGAGUUAUCUAUAUAAAUAUUUAUAUACAUAUAUAUUUUAUUCUAGUACCAUUAGGUCAGUAUAUGAAUUAAAAUGUUAAUAUGUUCACUAUGUGGUGUUCGCCCUAAAGACUCUCUCUGACCCAGUUCUCUAGGUGCCGCCGCCUCUAUGGGAUUUCUCUGCAAUUCCAGCUCGGUGACUCUGUCUUCCACCCUAUGAAGCAGCGCACUCCUGUCAUGGCUCCGUUGGUGAUUUCGUCCUCUCCGCCGCAUCUCCGUCCUUCGUCUCCUUCGUCGCAUCUCCGUUCUCCUCCCGAUCCGCCGCCAUGUACGCCUCCUCCUGUGCCGCUUGAAGUCCUCUCUCCACCAAAACCACCAGAUCCUCAUGACGCAUCUUUCGGUCCCGUGUUUCUUCUGCUCUUCGACACAUCCUUCGACCCUGCUCAAGCGCUUUCCAGAACUUCAGAUUUGGAAUCUUUGUUGUUGAAUUUGGCGUUUGUUACCGGUGACGGUGUUGUUUCUCUGAUGUCCAUUGGUGACAAAGUCUUUGCUUCCAAAUGCUUGUAUCCUGCAGUAUGCAGUUUAUUUCUUUGUCGGUGCCUUGAUUGGAAUCAUGACCUUAUUUUUCCAGCAAGUCCAUAUACCCUUCACUCCUGUUCAUUAUGCUUGUCACUGUGUUGGUGGCUUCAACAACAGGUUGCACUAUCCCCAUCACCACCAGUUGCUCCAUGCCUCACCCAUUAAUACAUGUGUUAUCUAGAUUUUCUAACUUAAUCAUGGGUGAUGAGUUGAUAUUUAUGGGGAGUUCAAUGUUGAAGAUUAGAGAUACUUCAAAUGCUGAAGUUCUAAUCAAAGGCUUUAUAGCCAUGUUAAGGAUUGUUAAUUGUGCACUUGUCGCUGUUUCAAUCUCGGGAUUUAUAUCACUGAUCGUGGUCUCUAUUUCCCAAGGCUUCAUCUCACUUUCCAGCUUGAUGUUCGAGGAGAUUAGAGGACUUCUCUACGACAUUAGUUGCUUAAGCGUCUUGUAUGCCCCUAUCUUAAUAUGUUGUAUUUGCUUCUUUGUAAUAGCUUGUUAUUUGGCCAUGAUGGCUUUAUUAUCAUGUUGUAUGAACACUCUCUCUAUUUGUAGAGAGUAAGAAUCUAUAAAAUUGAGGUUUGCCCAAAAAAAAUGAAUUAAAAUAUUAAUAUCUUAUUUUAUAUAACUUUAGCACUAUACUAGGUUAAGAUCUGCGGUUUGCGCGGAAUUUACAUUCAGGCGAAAUUUACAUUCGGUAUACAAAUCUUUUUACGUACACUAUUAUUUAUUUUGCAUUUUUACAUAUUAUAAAAUAAUAAAUAAUAAAUAUAUAUUAAAUAAUUAAGAAACACGUAACUAUUACAUAUAUAAUUAAAUUGGCACAAACACAUAAAUCAAAAUAAUAACUCUUCUUAUGAUAAAUAAAUCAAACAAUCAUCAUAUUCACUUAUUUUCUAUGGUAUAUAAUUAAAUUUAAAUGAUAUUAACUAAAUAAUAUGGUUAUCUAUUAAAUAAGACUUCAUACUCGUAUGUUUUUUUUGUUAUCAACAAAACAGACUCCUAAGACUCUACAAACCAAAUUGGUAACUAUGCAUCCAUGUGAACGACAAAAGACGGCUGCUUAGUGGCACUACGUGCAAGACAAUCCACCCGUGUAUUCUGUGUUCUGGGUACAUAAAUUAUUUUCGAGCUGUGGAAACUUUCCUUCAGGAUUUUGAUAUCUUCCAAAUAACUUACAAAAACUGUUCAUUCUCCAGGUUCCAAAACCAUUUUCACCGGUUGAGAACAAUCCGUUGCAAAUAUGACAUGAAAAUGACGUAAAUUCGGCAUACAUUCCAAUGCCCAAAUGAGAGCUUCCACUCCCGAGUGAAGGGGUGACGCAUCAAAAACCUUCCAAAGUACUAUACCAUCCAUGUUCUGAAAAAUCCCCUGAUCUUUCCAUGACUCAUCCGUAAAACACCAUAUACCUGGAAUGAUUGGCAGGUUUGUGGCAUCUACGUCUGUAUUUUGGGCAACCCUUUGUGUCAGUGUAACAUGUGCUUCAGUCCCCAAUAGAGACUCCGUUUCUGCCAAUUUCAAAGUGUCCCUGGGAUCGAUAUCUAUAUUUCUAAAACUUUAUUAUUUUGUCCCGUCCUGAUAUACCAUAAUAUCCAAGCAAAUUGAUGAUCCUCCAUUUGUGGAACAACUCUCCGAAACAAAUGAUCCAUAUUCGCGAAGAAUGAUGAAAAAAGAGAAACAACUGGAUUCGAUGGGAUGUUUGAGAGUGCCCAAACUUGUAUCGUUGGUGGACAUUCAAAAAAUACAUGGUUUAUUGAUUCCUCCGGUGCCCCUCACUGAUUAUCCGUUUAAGCACACACCAAUUAACCUAAUGUGCCAACAAUACCACAAUCGAAUGGUAUGUCAUUGUAGCAUUUUAGGAUCGAAUCCACAAGGAACUAAUGAUCUAUAAUACCAAGAAUACACAAGCUUCUUUAAUCUAAGCAAACAAGAAUAUGAAUGAUUUUGUAACAAGCUAAUGUCCUAGGAAUAUAAACAAGGUGAUCUCAAAUCCAAUCAAGAAAUAAGUGCAAGAACUUUCAAUCAAAUGCUAAGGAUGGAUCCAUGGGCAAAUAUAAUUGAUAUAAGGUGAUCAAGGUUCAAUCUAGGAUGUUCAAACAAAACAAUCAACAAGUCUAUAGGUCUAGAUCUCAUUCAAAAUAGAUUAAUCCACUCCCGUGAUAAUAAUCCCUAUGCUAGUCAUGAAUUAAACAUCAACUCCCGUUGGCUAACACAUUCAAGCAUGCAUAAAUCACAAGUCUACUAACCACUUAAACAUCUCGGACAUCAACUGCCGUUGGCCAAAUAUGUAAAAGACAAUGCUAAGUUCAUUCAAGCAUUUUAACAAACACCUUUCGGGGGUAAAAUAGCUUAAGGUCCAGAUGAGAGUGAUCAAGUCUAAUCUAGCAUUAAGAACACUUAGCAAGCAUAGAACAUUGUUAAUCAAGCAAUAAACAUCCUAAAUAUCCACUUAAUCACCAUAAUCUAUCUAACCCAUGAAUCACAAGUUCACUACUCACUACUUAAACCCAUGUAAGAAUCAAGGCUAAUCAUGGUAAUGAGCAAGAGAAACACAAAUAUAAGAUGAAGUACUUCCUUAGAUUAUCAAAAGAUUCAAGCUUUUACAAGUUUAGAUAAAGUCUUGAGAGAAAAUGAGAUAAGAUCCAACUUUGUGAGCUACAAGGUAUUUAUAUGAUCCUUAUAAACCCUAAUGGGCUCAUAAACAAGUCUGAAAAGCCCAUAAAAAUCAGAAAAAUCGCCCAGAAAAGGGUUUGGAGCGGGUAGGUUGACUGGCUCGUCUGGGCCGCUCCGCCCAGGUUUAGUCCAUGCGCGCGGGUCGACCAACCCGGGAUGCCUAACCCGCGCUGGGUCGACCGUGGGUCGACCAACCCGCGCUGGGUCGACCGCGGGAAGGAAGGGUAGCUGCGUGCGGGUGGUCGACCCCGCUGUGGUCUGAUCGCACUGGGGUUGAUAUGCCUCUAGUAAAUCGACCAUAACUCCUCCAAUACAGCUUCAAAUGACUUGAAACCACUUCCAUUGGAAAGCUAACUUACUUUAAUAUGUUUUCCCAAAAUCUUAGCAACAGAAGAUAUCUUUAAGACCUCCAUCCAUGUUCAUCUUUCACCCUUUUGCACCACAAAUGUCUCUAAACACCUCCAAGAAUUCCAUAGCACACUCCAGACCCUAAUAAAGACUCAUGUAUGCAAAAUGCAACCUAAAAAUGACUAAAUCCUAAUCUAUAUGAUCAAAAUGUAUAAGAAUGAAUGGCUAAAAUCAUGCAAAUUCAUAAGAUAUCAACUCCCCCACACUAGUUUUUUACUUGUCAUCAAGUAAGCUUUUCAAAAACUCAAGAAGGAAAGAUAUAAAGAUGGGAGCUUAUAACCAAAAGAGACAUUUUCUAUCCUUCAACCUAACAUCGUAAGAUAAACAUAGCAAAUAGCAUGAACCACUCUCUUAUUUCACUCUAGCUUCUCAAGGCCUAUCAACACUCUUAUGCCUCUAGACAAGUUGCAAUGCUCAUCAAUCAACAAGUCUUUCAACCAACUCUCACAUUCAUUCACACACACACACACAAGGUGAAUUCUUGCAAAUGGAUAUUUGAUCUCAAUCAUUUGGCUUGGUGAGAAAAGAUGGUCUAAUGUGCAUAAAGAUGGGUUUCAAAUGCAUUUUUUUUAUAGUGACUCACACUCAAGAAUAAGAGCAAGAACAUUAUGCAAAAUUUAUCUAAGAAAAGGAGCAAUUCAUGCAUACAAUGAUUUGUUCUCAUCAUUCUACCUCUUUCAUAAAUGAUUUCAAGCUCUACCCUUCUUCUUUUCAUUAUCCCAAAACCCAAAGAUACACUCACUUUCAUCUCUCACCCAAUGAACACAUUCCCAUUUCUUAUUUUAGCCAACUAGGGAUUUUUAUUUUUUUUAUUCACUCAGCUCUUUUAUUUUUCUUUUCCCCACUCUUCUCAUGUUUUUUCUUUUAUUCUAAAGGAGAUUCUAUUUAUAAACACAAGAGCCCUCUUUUUUUUUUUUUCUUUUAAAUCCCUAGUGGCUUUCUUUCCUUUUCUCACUCUUUUUGGUUCAUUUCUUUUUACUUUUUUUUUUACUCAAAUCCCAAUCCCAAGAUCAAAAUCAAGCAUACGAACCCAACAAACAUCCUAGAGGUUAGCUCAAAUGAGGUCCUAAUGCUAGCCAAAGAUGAGAACAACUCAUUGUCGCUCCUAAUACUCUCAAGAUUUUGCACAUGACAUGCUAUCAAUAAAAGGCCUCACUCAAGCAAAUUAAUGUUGGCUUCAAAGAAUGGUGAGGGUUAAUAGGUAUGGAAGUGCCAUUUGGGUUAACAAAUAUUGGUACAAAGAGAGAAAGAUAACCCAAAUGUGUAUAAUAUCCAUGAUCAAGUAUGCAAAUGCCCAUAUGCAAGAGAGAUUAAGUUCAUUAACCCCUAGUUCAUUUGGAGUUGGUUUCAAGAACAAUGUCAAUCAUCAAGCAAACAACAUGUUUCAAGAAGAGUUUUCAAGGCUCGAAGCUUACAAGCUUUUUUCAAGAGAUGCUUAAGUUACUUGAUAUGUUUAGCUAGGAUGUCAAAUUGAGUUCUAGACAUGUGUUCUUUACAAGGUUUCUCCCAAUGCAUGAAUGCAAUCUAAAUGCUUCUAGACUCAAUCCUAAAGAUGCAAAUGGAUCAAGUGAAACUACAUUGAAGAUUUUCAAAGAAAAUCAAAAUUUUAUGGAUUUUCUAUGCAAAUAAGAAUUCACAAUGCAAUGCAUGAGACUCAUGGCAAGUAAACAAAACAGAAAAUGAUGUGAGAUAGUAGACUCUCCCCCAAACUUACUUCACACAGUCUCUUGUGUGAGAGUAAGCUCAAAGAAGAGAUCUAAGGAAAGAAAUAAACAUGAAAACUAAAUAUGUACAAGGUUGGGGUGACACUUACUUGGAGUUAUUGGCUGAAUUGGGUGGUAGAAGACCCUUGGCCUCAGAUUUAUUUCACUUGUAGACAUGAGCUGAAGCGGAGAAGUGAAAGAAGGUGUCUAGAUUCAACCUAAAAAGCCUCAACUAUACUUAUUAAAUAACCUAAAAAGGAAAGAUAAAGAAAUAUAUACAAUGGAGAACAUGGGAUUUCCUCCCAAGUGAGCUUGUUUUAAGUCUCUAGCUUGACUUUGUGUGCUUGCUAAUCAUAAGUAUCAAAAGGUUGAGCCAAUGCACCUUUGGUCCUUCUCCUACAAGAACAAGGAACCAAGUAUGCAAAGAAGCACACUACUGUCCAUAGAAAAUAGUCAGAUUUUUCCUCAAGGAGCUUCACUAAAGAUGUGACAUGAAUUAUGAAAUGCUCCUUGAGGUUCAGAUGAUCAUAAGAAUCAAAAGCAUUUGUUGGAGACACAAAUUCAACUACAGGCUCAAACGAAGUUUUAACAAAGUAGUCAACUCUAUCUCCAUCAAUCAAAUAAGACACAAUGUUCAUCAAGUUCAUCCCCUAAAUCAGCUAGUUCAAGAAGAGGUCUAGGUUCAUCAAGCAUCAAAAACUCAGAUUCAAGAUCAAUUGAAGCACAAAGAUAGUUCUUAUCAAAACAAACUUCAAUAUGAUCUCUAACUAGCUUUUCUACUCUCAAGUCAUCUAGUUUUCUAGUUUCACAUAUCAGAUCAAGACAUUCAUUGAUGAGCACAUGAGAAUUCAAAUCAGAGGCAAUCUCUUCAACACAUGGCAAGCAAAUAUCCUCAAAAUGAAGUUCUAAAGUCGAAUUGCAUGUACCUUCCAGCUGGGUUGGUGGAACCCAAUAAAAUACCUCUUUGAGCUGUUGAGCCAUUCUUAUCUCAAUGCCGGUGAGCUCUCUUCCUUCUAAUGUUGCCCGAUGUGACAUAAGAUUUAACCUGAGCAUCACUAUCAUGUCCUCCCUUGUCAACAUUGGAUUCUCUUUGCAAAGCUCAUCCACCUUUACACUCUGUUCUGGUGUGAGUAUACUUUCAUCAAAUGGCUCCUCCAUAUAUGGCUCAUCAUCAUCAUCAAUGUGAUCUUCAAGUGUAUCUUCCUCUUCUUGUGGCCAAGCAAAGUGGCUUGCUGCCAUCACUGAAAAUAGCAAAAGCUAGAAUAAAAGGUUAGUAGCUAUAUAAAAGCAAAACAAAGCAUAAGAAAAUAAAGCUUAAUCUCAAAAAAGUUUGAAAUCCUAAUGACAAAUCUACUUAGUUCCCCGGCAACGGCGCCAAAUUGAUUAUGCAUUUAAGCACACACCAAUUAAUCUAAUGUGCCAACAAUACCACAAUCGAAUGAUAUGUCAUUGUAGUAUUUUAGAAUCGAAUCCACAAGGAACUAAUGAUCUAUAACACCAAGAAUACACAAGCUUCCUUAAUCUAAACAAACAAGAAUAUGGAUGAUUUUGUAACAAGCUAAUGUCCUAGGAAUAUAAACAAGGUGAUCUCAAAUCCAAUCAAGAAAUAAGUGCAAGAACUUUCAAUCAAAUGCUAAGGAUGGAUCCAUGGGCAAAGAUAAUUGAUAUAAGGUGAUCAAGGUUCAAUCCAGGAUGUUCAAACAAAACAAUCAACAAGUCUAUAGGUCUAAAUCUCAUUCAAAAUAGAUUAAUCCACUCCCUGAUAAUAAUCCCUAUGCUAGUCAUGCAUUACACAUCAACUCCCGUUGGCUAACACAUUCAAUCAUGCAUAAAUCACAAGUCUACUAACCACUUAAACAUCUCAGACAUCAACGCCGUUGGCCAAAUAUGUAAAAGACAAUGCUAAGUUCAUUCAAACAUUUUAACAAACACCUUUUGGGGGUAAAAUAGCUUAAGGUCUAGAUGAGAGUGAUCAAGUCUAAUCUAGCAUUAAGAACACUUAGAAAGCAUAGAACAUUGUUAAUCAAGCAAUAAACAUCCUAAAUAUCCACUUAAUCACCAUAAUCUAUCUAACCCAUGAAUCACAAGUUCACUACUCACUACUUAAACUCAUGUAAGGAUCAAGGCUAAUCAUGUUAAUGAGCAAGAGAAACACAAAUAUAAGAUGAUGUACUUCCUUAGAUUAUCAAAAGAUUCAACCUUUUACAAGUUUAGAUAAAGUCUUGAGGGAAAAUGAGAUAAGAUCCAACUUUGGGAGCUACAAGGUAUUUAUAUGAUCCUUAAAAACCCUAAUGGGCUCAUAAAAAAGUCUGAACAGCCCAUAAAAAAUCAUCAAAAUCGCCCAAAAAAGGGUUUGGAGCGGGUAGGUUGACUGGGACGUCCGGGCCGCUCCGCCCAGGUUCAGUCCAUGCACGUGGGUCGACCAACCCGGGCUGCCUAACCCACGCUGGGUCGACCGCGGGUCAACCAACCCGCGCUGGGUCGACCGCGGGAAGGAAGGGUAGCUGCGCGCGGGUGGUCGAACCCGCUGUGGUCUGGUCGCGCUGGGGUUGAUAUGCUUCUAGUAAAUCAACCAUAACUCCUCCAAUACAGCUCUAAAUGACUUGAAACCACUUCCAUUGGAAAGCUAACUCAAUUUACUAUGUCUUCUCAAAAUCUUAUCAACAGAAGAUAUCUUUAAGACCUCCAUCCAUGUUCAUCUUUCACCCUUUUGCACCACAAAUAUCUCAAAACACCUCCAAGAAUUCCAUAGCACACUCCAGCCCCUAAUAAAGACUCAUGUAUGCAAAAUGCAACCUAAAAAUGACUAAAUCCUAAUUAUAUGAUCAAAAUGUACAAGAAUGAAUGGCUAAAAUCAUGCAAAUUCAUAAGAUAUCACACACCUCACACAAAAAACAUCUCCUUGCAUCCCCCUCGCUCACAAGUUUUUCUUAACUGCAAUGCAUCAUGACACUAUUUACCAUAAGAAAUGCUUCAUUUUUGGUAGAUAUCUUAUUUUCCAACAAAAAACCUUCAAAUUAUCAACCAAAGGACCAAAAACUGGUAGCGGUUUUUCCUUAUCAGGAUAGACAUGUUCUACUUGGUAACCACAUUUCACCAUAUAUUUUCCAUUAUUUGUGAAAUGUCAUCCGUCUUUGUCAGCAAAUUGUAUCCAACUCAAAGGUAUACUUUCUAUGAGUUUUACAUCCUAGGCAUCCACUAAAGCCUGAAUUGCCUGAGAAUUCCAUGUUCUUGAUGAUGUCAUGAUGAGAGAAUCGACUGUAAGGUCAGGGUAAAGAUUAUGAUGGUUAUUGUUUGCUGGUCUUGGAGGAGUGGUUGAGAGCCAAGGAUCAUUCCAUAAAGAUAUUAUUGAUCUUGAUCCCACCCUUUUAAUUAGUCAUUUGCUUACUAGAGAUCUAGCUGAGACAAUACUACGCCAGCCAUAUGACAGGGAGUAUGAUCUAAUCGAUUCCAAAGGUGAUGCAUUCCUGAAGUAUCGACCUUAAAAAACUCGAGAAUACAAAGUAUUUGGUUUCUCGAUUAAUCGCCAAAGCUGCUUUCCUAGCAUGGCCGUAUUAAAAUCCGUGAGAUAUUUAAAUCGCAAACCUCCUUCAUAGCCGAGACAGCUGUCCCGCAGAUUAAGGAAUCCGCAAAGGAUAAUGUCAUAAGAUGAGCAAGACUAAAGAAAGAGAAGAUCGGUCCUCGUCCACUCAGAAAGCUUUUUCUCAUCAAAGGGGGACGGAGACGGUUAGUCAGCAUUCCACAACCAACGAGCAGCAAACUUCUUGCGACUCUAAUUGA